UGCGCUCCGAUCAGCGCGAAGUUUCAAAUAGCAGGAGUGGCAGCAGGCAGCGCAGCCGGAGCAACAGCCAGCCUCGCAAUCACUCCAACUUCAAACGACGCAGUGACCAGGCGGUAUCGCGGAAGGUCGCCUGGUCAGCCAAUCCCGAGCCCAAGCCCACACGACCUUAACAGGACGCAAACCAGGUUUCGAAAAAAUCCCGAUCUGCGGAGUCUGUGGGAGCGAGCCAUUCGCUUCGAUCGAUCAAGGCAAACAACCAGACGGCGGGCGUGAAGUGUGCCUUCCGUGAUUCGCUCGUUUCCUGAACAUCUACAGAAGCCUGUAAAAAGGAAGCGUCCAGACAAAAAGCGUCAAACCCGCCCAAACAGUGAUUGUGCCCGGCUCUGCGAAGUGACUGAAAUCGAAGAACCAUCUGCGUCUUCGCCAACCAAACAAAGAUACAAACACAAAAUCAGUGCCUCUGAAGAAGAGGUAACGCAGUUGAAGAAGAAAAUUAAGACUUUGCAGCAAACGAAGCGAAGGCUUCAGAAGAGAAAUGAGACAGCACACAAAGCCGUCAAUGAAAUCAGAGAA